GGCAGCGACAACAUUGUAACCUUCGGGGGAUUUGUUGGGCGGCGAGCGGCGGACGGGUGAGUAAUGCUUAGGAAUUUGCCCAGUCGAGGGGGACAACAGUUGGAAACGACUGCUAAUACCGCAUACGCCCUACGGGGGAAAGCAGGGGCUCUUCGGACCUUGCGCGAUUGGAUAAGCCUAAGUGAGAUUAGCUAGUUGGUGAGGUAAUGGCUCACCAAGGCGACGAUCUCUAGCUGGUUUGAGAGGAUGAUCAGCCACACUGGGACUGAGACACGGCCCAGACUCCUACGGGAGGCAGCAGUGGGGAAUAUUGCACAAUGGGCGAAAGCCUGAUGCAGCCAUGCCGCGUGUGUGAAGAAGGCCUUCGGGUUGUAAAGCACUUUCAGCGAGGAGGAAAGGUUGACGGUUAAUACCCGCUAGCUGUGACGUUACUCGCAGAAGAAGCACCGGCUAACUCCGUGCCAGCAGCCGCGGUAAUACGGAGGGUGCGAGCGUUAAUCGGAAUUACUGGGCGUAAAGCGCAUGCAGGCGGCCAAGUCAGUCAUAUGUGAAAGCCCCGGGCUUAACCUGGGAAUUGCAUUUGAUACUGCUUGGCUAGAGUCCUUGAGAGGGGGGGUAGAAAUUUCAGGUGUAGCGGUGAAAUGCCGUAGAGCUCCUGAAGGAAAUACCAGUGGGCGAAGGCGGCCCCCCCUGGUAAGAAGACUAGACGCUCAGAAUGCGAAAGCGGUGGGGGAGCCAAACCAGGAUUAGAUUACCCCUGGGUAGUCCCCGGCCGUAAAACGGAUGGU
rnacentral:rRNA from 1 species